rnacentral:rRNA from 1 species
AGCGAACGCUGGCGGCAGGCCUAACACAUGCAAGUCGAACGGACCCUUCGGGGUUAGUGGCGGACGGAUGAGUAACACGUGGGAACGUACCUUUUGGUUCGGAAUAGCUCUUGGAAACGGGAGGUAAUGCCGAAUGUGCCCUUAGGGGGAAAGAUUUAUCGCCAUUAGAGCGGCCCGCGUUGGAUUAGAGAGGUGGUGUGGUAAAGGCGCACCAAGUCUACGAUCCAUAGCUGGUCUGGGAGGAUGAUCAGCCACACUGGGACUGAGACACGGCCCAGACUCCUACGGGAGGCAGCAGUGGGGAAUCUUGCGCAAUGGUCGAAAGACUGACGCAGCCAUGCCGCGUGAAUGAUGAAGGUCUUAGGAUUGUAAAAUUCUUUUAGUAGGGACGAUAAUGACGGUACCUACAGAAAAAGCCCCGGCUAACUUCGUGCCAGCCGCCGCCGUAAAAC